rnacentral:sRNA from 1 species
CAGUUUAAUAAAAACAAAUUUUAGAGUUC